rnacentral:lncRNA from 1 species
UUUCAAAUCCAUAAAUAACUACAUACCUUCUAUUACUUGAUCUUUUCACUGUGAACUGGAACUUGUGCAUAACUGCAUAAUUCUUCAUUGCAACAGCUAUUGUUUUCUUAUCCUGGUACACUUGUCCUUCUUCAAUACAUGUUUGCGUAGAUUCAAUUAUUAUUUCACUUUGAUAUUCCUCUAUAGCUGGUGAUGAUGGAAUUUCUAGUAACCUUAGUGAUCCUGAAGAACCUGCAGACAAUAAAUUCACAAAUGUAGUAACUAUGUAGGUAAAUUUGAAAGAAACAUCACCGUGUCAUUUCCAGUACUAUAUAAUCAUCAUAGUGUAAUUGUAGAUACAUGUCGUUGAAUCAUAGAUUAGUAGGUAACACAAAAACACUCACC